rnacentral:rRNA from 1 species
AAAGUAGCUUGCUACUUUUGCCGGCGAGCGGCGGACGGGUGAGUAAUGCCUGGGGAUCUGCCCAGUCGAGGGGGAUAACAGUUGGAAACGACUGCUAAUACCGCAUACGCCCUACGGGGGAAAGGAGGGGACCUUCGGGCCUUUCGCGAUUGGAUGAACCCAGGUGGGAUUAGCUAGUUGGUGGGGUAAUGGCUCACCAAGGCGACGAUCCCUAGCUGGUYWGAGAGGAUGAUCAGCCACACUGGAACUGAGACACGGUCCAGACUCCUACGGGAGGCAGCAGUGGGGAAUAUUGCACAAUGGGGGAAACCCUGAUGCAGCCAUGCCGCGUGUGUGAAGAAGGCCUUCGGGUUGUAAAGCACUUUCAGCGAGGAGGAAAGGUUGGCGCCUAAUACGUGUCAACUGUGACG